rnacentral:rRNA from 1 species
AGAGUUUGAUCAUGGCUCAGAAUCAACGCUGGCGGCGUGCCUAACACAUGCAAGUCGCACGAGAAAGGGUAGCAAUACCUGAGUACAGUGGCGCACGGGUGAGUAACACGUGAAUUAUCUACCUCCGAGUGGGGAAUAACCUAGAGAAAUCUGGGCUAAUACCGCAUAACACUUACGAGUCAAAGCAGCAAUGCGCUUGGAGAGGAGUUCGCGGCCGAUUAGUUAGUUGGCGGGGUAAUGGCCCACCAAGACGAUGAUCGGUAUCCGGCCUGAGAGGGCGCACGGACACACUGGAACUGAAACACGGUCCAGACUCCUACGGGAGGCAGCAGUGGGGAAUUUUGCGCAAUGGGGGAAACCCUGACGCAGCAACGCCGCGUGGAGGAUGAAAUCCCUUGGGAUGUAAACUCCUUUCGAUCGGGACGAUUAUGACGGUACCGGAAGAAGAAGCCCCGGCUAACUUCGUGCCAGCAGCCGCGGUAAUACGAGGGGGGCAAGCGUUGUUCGGAAUUAUUGGGCGUAAAGGGCGCGUAGGCGGUUUGACAAGUCUGAUGUGAAAUCUCUGGGCUCAACCCAGAGUCUGCAUUAGAAACUGUCGGGCUUGAGUAUGGGAGAGGUGAGUGGAAUUUCCGGUGUAGCGGUGAAAUGCGUAGAUAUCGGAAGGAACACCUGUGGCGAAAGCGGCUCACUGGACCAUAACUGACGCUGAGGCGCGAAAGCUAGGGGAGCAAACAGGAUUAGAUACCCUAGUAGUCC